GAAAGAUUUAUUGGAUAAGGAUAGGCAUGCGUAAGAUUAGUUAGUUGGUAAGGUAACGGCUUACCAAGACGAUGAUCUUUAGGGGUCCUGAGAGGGAGAUCCCCCACACUGGUACUGAGACACGGACCAGACUCCUACGGGAGGCAGCAGUGAGGAAUAUUGGACAAUGGGUGGAAGCCUGAUCCAGCCAUCCCGCGUGUAGGAAGACGGCCUUAUGGGUUGUAAACUACUUUUAUCUGGGGAUAAACCUACUUACGUGUAAGUAGCUGAAGGUACCAGAAGAAUAAGCACCGGCUAACUCCGUGCCAGCAGCCGCGGUAAUACGGAGGGUGCGAGCGUUAUCCGGAUUUAUUGGGUUUAAAGGGUUCGUAGGCGGCUUAAUAAGUCAGUGGUGAAAUCUCAUAGCUUAACUAUGAAACUGCCAUUGAUACUGUUAAGCUUGAAUAUGUUUGAA
rnacentral:rRNA from 1 species